GACUUCAACUGAAAACGUCAUCAAUAACAAAGUUCUAUAAUCCAUCUAGAUCUACAAAUUUUAUUUUGGUCAUUUAUUCAUCCGAUAAAGUGAUUUGUAACAUUGUUCACAAAAUGUAGAUACCUCUUGUAUAUUUAUAUAACUAUACAAGAUGUAUCUAACUAUAUAAGAGGUAUCUACAUUUUGUGAACAAUAUUACUGUCGCUUUAUCGGAUGAAGAAAUGACCAAAAUAAAAGUUAUAGAUAUUGAUGAGUUUUACAACUUUGUUGUUGAUGACUUUUUCAGUUGAAAUC
rnacentral:pre_miRNA from 1 species